AUGAUGGCGGCGCUCUCCUCCGUACUCCUCCUCCUGUUUGUCGCCGUUGCGACUCCGAAGGCGGCGGCGACGAUCACCAGGCGCGACUUCCCCCCGGGGUUCAUCUUCGGCACCGGCUCCUCCGCUUACCAGAUCGAAGGUGCGGUCGCAGAGGACGGGAGAAAACCCAGCAUCUGGGACACGUUCACACACUCAGGCCAUUCCGUCGAUGGAUCAAAUGCUGAUGUGACUGCAGAUCAGUACCAUAAGUACAAGGAAGAUGUUAAGCUUUUGAGCGACAUGGGCGUCGACGCCUACAGAUUUUCCAUUGCCUGGCCUCGCCUUAUUCCCGAUGGCCGUGGAGCUGUCAAUCCAAAGGGACUGGAGUACUACAACAAUCUUAUCGAUGAACUCCUGGCUCAUGGAAUCCAGCCUCACGUCACGAUAUAUCAUUUCGACUUCCCUCAGGCUCUUCAAGACGAAUACAACGGGAUGCUUAGCCCCAAAUUCAUAGAUGAUUACACGGCGUAUGCAGAAGUGUGCUUCAAGAACUUUGGCGACAGGGUGAAGUACUGGAGCACUGUCAAUGAGCCAAAUAUUGAGCCGAUUGGCGGAUAUGACCAGGGUAUCCUCCCACCGCGACGAUGCUCAUUCCCCUUCGGUGCCCUCAGUUGCGAUAAUGGCAACUCUACCACAGAGCCAUACAUAGUAGCACACCAUCUUCUCCUUGCACAUGCCUCAGCAGCGUCCCUGUAUAAAGAGAAGUACCAGGCCAAGCAGGGAGGAAAUAUUGGACUCACAUUGCUCGGUUGGUGGUACGAGCCUGCAACACAAACACCUGAGGAUAUAGCAGCAGCUGAAAGGAUGAACGACUUUCACAUCGGAUGGUAUAUGCAUCCGUUGGUGCAUGGAGAUUACCCCCCGGUGAUGAAGAAGAAUGUUGGGUCCAGGCUACCAUCUUUCACCGACGAAGAACUGAAGAGGGUGCUCGGAUCUUUCGAUUUUGUCGGAUUUAACCACUACAUUGCGGUAUAUGUUAAGGCUGAUCUUAGCAAGCUGGAUGAUGAGCUGAGAGAUUACAUGGGUGAUGCAGCCGUGAAAUAUGACAUGCCAUUUUUGAAGAAGAACCAGCUCCUGUUUGGGUUGAAAAGCGAUUUCAUGACAUCGACACCGUGGGCUCUGAAGAAAAUGCUGGAGCAUCUCCAGCUCAAAUACAAGAACCCUAUAGUCAUGAUCCAUGAGAACGGAGCUGCUAGCAUUGCGGAUCCUUCUGCCGGAAACGCCCCCGACGACGAGUUCAGGUCGCAGUACCUGCAGGAUUACAUCGAGGCGACCCUCGAAUCCAGCAGGAACGGGUCGAACGUGCAGGGCUACUUCGUGUGGUCGUUUCUGGACGUGUUCGAGUAUCUGUUUGGCUACCGCAUGGGCUUCGGCCUCUAUGGCGUCGACUUCAACUCCGAGGAGAGGACGAGGUACCAGAGGCACUCCGCCAAGUGGUUCGCCGGCUUCCUCCGUGGCGGUGAGCUCAGGCCGGUGGCUCUGCCCGGCCAGGCUUAUUCGCAGUGA
rnacentral:rRNA from 1 species